CGAACGCUUCUUUCCUCCCGAGUGCUUGCACUCAACUGGAAAGAGGAGUGGCGGACGGGUGAGUAACACGUGGGUAACCUACCCAUCAGAGGGGGAUAACACUUGGAAACAGGUGCUAAUACCGCAUAACAGUUUAUGCCGCAUGGCAUAAGAGUGAAAGGCGCUUUCGGGUGUCGCUGAUGGAUGGACCCGCGGUGCAUUAGCCAGUUGGUGAGGUAACGGCUCACCAAGGCCACGAUGCAUAGCCGACCUGAGAGGGUGAUCGGCCACACUGGGACUGAGACACGGCCCAGACUCCUACGGGAGGCAGCAGUAGGGAAUCUUCGGCAAUGGACGAAAGUCUGACCGAGCAACGCCGCGUGAGUGAAGAAGGUUUUCGGAUCGUAAAACUCUGUUGUUAGAGAAGAACAAGGACGUUAGUAACUGAACGUCCCCUGACGGUAUCUAACCAGAAAGCCACGGCUAACUACGUGCCAGCAGCCGCGGUAAUACGUAGGUGGCAAGCGUUGUCCGGAUUUAUUGGGCGUAAAGCGAGCGCAGGCGGUUUCUUAAGUCUGAUGUGAAAGCCCCCGGCUCAACCGGGGAGGGUCAUUGGAAACUGGGAGACUUGAGUGCAGAAGAGGAGAGUGGAAUUCCAUGUGUAGCGGUGAAAUGCGUAGAUAUAUGGAGGAACACCAGUGGCGAAGGCGGCUCUCUGGU
rnacentral:rRNA from 1 species